ACGAACGCUGGCGGCAUGCCUAACCCAUGCAAGUCGAACGAUUGCCUUCGGGUGAUAGUGGCGCCCGGGUGCGUAACGCGUGGGAAUCUGCCCUUAGGUUCGGAAUAACAGCUGGAAACGGCUGCUAAUACCGGAUGAUAUCGCGAGAUCAAAGAUUUAUCGCCUGAGGAUGAGCCCGCGUUGGAUUAGGUAGUUGGUGGGGUAAAGGCCUACCAAGCCGACGAUCCAUAGCUGGUCUGAGAGGAUGAUCAGCCACACUGGGACUGAGACACGGCCCAGACUCCUACGGGAGGCAGCAGUGGGGAAUAUUGGACAAUGGGCGCAAGCCUGAUCCAGCAAUGCCGCGUGAGUGAUGAAGGCCCUAGGGUUGUAAAGCUCUUUUACCCGGGAAGAUAAUGACUGUACCGGGAGAAUAAGCCCCGGCUAACUCCGUG
rnacentral:rRNA from 1 species